GCAGUCGUGGCCGAGUGUUAAGGAGAUGGACUAGAAAUACAUUGGGGUCUCCCCGCACAGGUUCGAAUACUGUCGACUGCA
rnacentral:tRNA from 2 species